UGACCCCGAGCCUCGCUGGAGAUGGCCAUCGUCCCGGUCCGGAGCUCCCCUGCUCUCUCAUUCAUGUACAGGAGGCAACCAUGGAUGACCUCGAGCAUGACCUUCUCCCGUGACCGACCCUGUCGGAUCCUGCCGUCUGCCGCCCGGAACGGAAACCCAUCGCCCAGGUUCGUUCGUUCCCACCACCGGCUCUACCAGAUCCUGCAAGGACCGGCCUGAAAUUGCGCUGCUAUCUGCUAUGCAUGUUGCCCUGCUACCCCUCUUAUUCUGUCUCUCUUCUCAUUUCUUCAGAUAACAGGAGAUGGCAUGGCGCCAUCGGCCAUCUCCACGCAGCCGAGUCAAUCCGGCCACCGCAUGCCUAGAUCCGACCGAUCCGGCGCCGCCGUGGACCUGCCGGCCCUGGAACCCCCUCUGCUCGCGCCAUCCCCGACCGCGUCCUGCACUCCAUAGGUCUGUAGGUGCCAGAUCCGCAGGGUCGUUGUCUGUCUGUGUUCGUGGGAAGAAG
rnacentral:lncRNA from 1 species